GAUUGAUCAAGCCUUUGACACCCUAAUCUGUUUUUAAUGUUGUAAAUAUUAACUCAUUAACUGGGAAUGUGAAUGUGCCCAAAUAUGCCCUACUUAGUAUUUACUCUGUCUAACGCCAGAUGAUUAAUUACUCAUCAGUCGUAGAGGGCUGUCAGUAAAUGGGUUAAAGUGAACAUUUUACUAAAAAUUUACUGUGUCUUCUGCUGCUGUUGGAAGUUCCUUUUCCUUGAACAUUUUACUAAAAUUUACUGUGUCUUUUGCUGCUGUUGGAAGUUCCUUUUCCUUGAACAUUUUACUAAAAAUUUACUGUGUUAUUGUGCAUAAUUUCUA